rnacentral:rRNA from 1 species
GAUUAGCUUGUUGGUGAGGUAACGGCUCACCAAGGCGACGAUCCCUAGCUGGUCUGAGAGGAUGACCAGCCACACUGGAACUGAGACACGGUCCAGACUCCUACGGGAGGCAGCAGUGGGGAAUAUUGCACAAUGGGCGCAAGCCUGAUGCAGCCAUGCCGCGUGUAUGAAGAAGGCCUUCGGGUUGUAAAGUACUUUCAGCGGGGAGGAAGGUGUUGUGGUUAAUAACCGCAGCAAUUGACGUUACCCGCAGAAGAAGCACCGGCUAACUCCGUGCCAGCAGCCGCGGUAAUACGGAGGGUGCAAGCGUUAAUCGGAAUUACUGGGCGUAAAGCGCACGCAGGCGGUCUGUCAAGUCGGAUGUGAAAUCCCCGGGCUCAACCUGGGAACUGCAUUCGAAACUGGCAGGCUUGAGUCUUGUAGAGGGGGGUAGAAUUCCAGGUGUAGCGGUGAAAUGCGUAGAGAUCUGGAGGAAUACCGGUGGCGAAGGCGGCCCCCUGGACAAAGACUGACGCUCAGGUGCGAAAGCGUGGGGAGCAAACAGGAUUAGAUACCCUGGUAGUCCACGCCGUAAACGAUGUCUACUUGGAGGUUGUGCCCUUGAGGCGUGGCUUCCGGAGCUAACGCGUUAAGUAGACCGCCUGGGGAGUACGGCCGCAAGGUUAAAACUCAAAUGAAUUGACGGGGGCCCGCACAAGCGGUGGAGCAUGUGGUUUAAUUCGAUGCAACGCGAAGAACCUUACCUGGUCUUGACAUCCACGGAACUUUCCAGAGAUGGAUUGGUGCCUUCGGGAACCGUGAGACAGGUGCUGCAUGGCUGUCGUCAGCUCGUGUUGUGAAAUGUUGGGUUAAGUCCCGCAACGAGCGCAACCCUUAUCCUUUGUUGCCAGCGGUCCGGCCGGGAACUCAAAGGAGACUGCCAGUGAUAAACUGGAGGAAGGUGGGGAUGACGUCAAGUCAUCAUGGCCCUUACGACCAGGGCUACACACGUGCUACAAUGGCGCAUACAAAGAGAAGCGACCUCGCGAGAGCAAGCGGACCUCAUAAAGUGCGUCGUAGUCCGGAUUGGAGUCUGCAACUCGACUCCAUGAAGUCGGAAUCGCUAGUAAUCGUGGAUCAGAAUGCCACGGUGAAUACGUUCCCGGGCCUUGUACACACCGCCCGUCACACCAUGGGAGUGGGUUGCAAAAGAAGUAGGUAGCUUAACCUUCGGGAGGGCGCUUACCACUUUGUGAUUCAUGACUGGGGUGAAGUCGUAACAAGGUAACCGUAGGGGAACCUGCGGUUGGAUCACCUCCUUACCUUAAAGAA